rnacentral:rRNA from 1 species
UACAGAGGUGGCAAGCGUUGUUCGGAUUCAUUGGGCGUAAAGGGUGCGUAGGUGGCAUGGUAAGUCGGAUGUGAAAUCCCGGGGCUCAACCCCGGAACUGCAUUCGAUACUGCUGCGCUAGAGUACUGGAGAGGAGAUUGGAAUUUACGGUGUAGCAGUGAAAUGCGUAGAUAUCGUAAGGAAGACCAGUGGCGAAGGCGGAUCUCUGGACAGUUACUGACACUGAGGCACGAAGGCCAGGGGAGCAAACGGG